GCUCUAACGUAUUUAUGCUAAACAACGCACAACGAAUCGCAUAAAACACCUUCAAUUCGACCCUUAUUUAUCUUAUAGAUCGGGUCCCAUAUAAUGACACAAUACUCCCGUUGUGAUCUUACGAAAGCAAAAUAUAAAGCUUUAAGAGUGAUCGCGUCCUUCAAACGCUUGGUAUAUCUUUUUAGAAACCCUAGUUGAGAAUUAGCCCUACUGAUUAUGUAAUCCAAAUGAGGAAUAAAUGAAUAUUUUCUGUCUAAAUAUACUCCCAGAUCCUUUA